rnacentral:rRNA from 1 species
CAUUUCAGCAGUCCAAAAUAUUAGUCAAUGCUCGAAAGAGUGAACUAGCUAACUGAAUCAAUUAUAAUAAUUGAUAACAUAAGGGAAAAUAAUGAUAUUACCUUAUUAUUAGUGUCGUCCAAAACUGGUGCCAGAAGACUCGGUAAGGCCAGAGACACAAACGUUAAUCGUCUUAAUCAGGCGUAAAGGGUUUGUAGGCGGCUUUAAAAUUUAAGUUAAUAAAAUCUAUUAAGUAAAGAAUAAAAGCUAGAAUCAAAUAGAGGAUAUAUGAAAGAAUGCUUAGAGUAGGUCUGAUAUCCUUAGAUACUAAGUAGAAUAUUAAAGGCGAAAGCUUUUUUCCAUUAAUGAUUGACGCUCAGAAACGAAGGUGAGGAUAGGAAAUAGGAUUAGAUACCCAGAAUACCCCUCUCUGUAAACGAUGAAUGGUAGUUAUUAAUAAAAUUAUUAAUGGCAAUGUUAACACGAUAACCAUUCCGCCUUGUGAGUACAACUGCAAAGUUGAAAACAAAAAAAUUAGUCGGUUUCGGAGCAAACGAAGUGAAGCAUGUUAUUUAAUUCAAUAAAUCCGCAAAAAA